ACCCGCUGAACUUAAGCAUAUCAAUAAGCGGAGGAAAAGAAACCAACAGGGAUUGCCCUAGUAACGGCGAGUGAAGCGGCAACAGCUCAAAUUUGAAAUCUGGCGUCUUUGGCGUCCGAGUUGUAAUUUGCAGAGGGCGCUUUGGCAUUGGCAGCGGUCCAAGUUCCUUGGAACAGGACGUCACAGAGGGUGAGAAUCCCGUACGUGGUCGCUAGCCUUUACCGUGUAAAGCCCCUUCGACGAGUCGAGUUGUUUGGGAAUGCAGCUCUAAAUGGGAGGUAAAUUUCUUCUAAAGCUAAAUACUGGCCAGAGACCGAUAGCGCACAAGUAGAGUGAUCGAAAGAUGAAAAGCACCUUGGAAAGAGAGUUAAAAAGCACGUGAAAUUGUUGAAAGGGAAGCGCUUGCAGCCAGACUUGCCUGUAGUUGCUCAUCCGGGUUUUUACCCGGUGCACUCUUCUAUAGGCAGGCCAGCAUCAGUUUGGGCGGUUGGAUAAAGGUCUCUGUCAUGUACCUCUCUUCGGGGAGAACUUAUAGGGGAGACGACAUGCAACCAGCCCGGACUGAGGUCCGCGCAUCUGCUAGGAUGCUGGCGUAAUGGCUGU
rnacentral:rRNA from 1 species